GGGUCCGCCCGUUUCUCUAAUCAAGUUGUAACACUCGCUGCUGUGGUCCACAGCUUCAUUCCUUGAAGCCCGUGAGACACGAACGCUUCCAUUGAGAAAAACCUUCCAUCAGAAGAAGACUUCUCGUCUCAGUGGGACUGCUGAGUUGAAUGAGACGAGGUUUCACCAUGUUACCCAAGCUGAUCUCGAACUCCUGGGUUCAUGCGAUCCACCUGACUCAGCCUCACAAAGUGGUAGGACUACAGAAAAUGAACAGGACUAUUCUUCCUCAAACAAAGAGAUCGUGUGAUGAAGACUCACCAGAGCUGUUCUCUAUAAGCUUGAAGAGCAAUGGUAUCAGGUGCUUUUUUUUCUGAAGCUUUGGUAGUGUAACUGUAAGAGUCCUGGAAUUGGAAAAGCAAAUCCAGAAGUUGAGUUCCAUGACUUUUUUGCUGUUUGCCUUUGGACUUGCAUCAUUUAUAUUUUUAAUUCAUCGAGGAUGAGAAAAUUGAUUAACACAAAAUCUUUUCAUGUCUUUUCUGAUGAGAGACUAGCUGAAUCCAAGAAGAGAAGCCCUUGAAGAGUGUAUUCUAUUCUAGACAAGCAUUCACACAUUGGCUUCUUUGGUGCCAGGUAAUUAGAAUUUGUAAUUUGGUCUUAAUUAAACUGCAGACUACCCAAAGGCCUUGAUCAGUGGCCUUUU
rnacentral:lncRNA from 1 species